CGCCGCGGUAACACGUAGGGGGCAAACGUUGUCCGGAAUUACUGGGCGUAAAGCGCGCGUAGGCGGUCAAUUAAGUCAGGUGUGAAAGGCCCGGGCUUAACCCGGGUAUUGCACUUGAAACUGAUUGACUUGAGGACAGGCGAGGGAAGUGGAAUUCCUAGUGUAGCGGUGAAAUGCGUAGAUAUUAGGAAGAACACCAGUGGCGAAGGCGACUUCCUGGACUGUAACUGACGCUGAGGUGCGAAAGCGUGGGUAGCGAACAGGAUUAGAUACCCUGGUAGUCCACGCUGUAAACGAUGGAUACUAGGUGUAGGAGGUUUCAAUACCAUCUGUGCCGUAGUUAACGCAAUAAGUAUCCCGCCUGGGGAGUACGACCGCAAGGUUGAAACUCAAAGGAAUUGACGGGGGCCCGCACAAGCAGCGGAGCAUGUGGUUUAAUUCGAAGCAACGCGAAGAACCUUACCAGGGCUUGACAUCUCCUGCCAACUGUAGAAAUACAGCCUUCCCUUUUGGGACAGGAAGACAGGUGGUGCAUGGCC
rnacentral:rRNA from 1 species